GUAAGGAAUAUUGGACAAUGGACGCAAGUCUGAUCCAGCCAUGCCGCGUGAAGGAUUAAGGUCCUCUGGAUUGUAAACUUCUUUUAUAAGGGACGAAAAAAGGCUUUUCUAAGUCGUCUGACGGUACCUUAUGAAUAAGCACCGGCUAACUCCGUGCCAGCAGCCGCGGUAAUACGGAGGGUGCAAGCGUUAUCCGGAUUCACUGGGUUUAAAGGGUGCGUAGGCGGGCAGGUAAGUCAGUGGUGAAAUCCUAGAGCUUAACUCUAGAACUGCCAUUGAUACUAUCUGUCUUGAAUAUUGUGGAGGUAAGCGGAAUAUGUCAUGUAGCGGUGAAAUGCUUAGAUAUGACAUAGAACACCUAUUGCGAAGGCAGCUUACUACGCAUAUAUUGACGCUGAGGCACGAAAGCGUGGGGAUCAAACAGGAUUAGAAACCCGUGUAUCC
rnacentral:rRNA from 1 species